rnacentral:rRNA from 1 species
UACGUAGGGGGCAAGCGUUGUUCGGAAUUACUGGACGUAAAGGGCGCGUAGGCGGCACGGCAAGUCGGGAGUGAAAGGCCUGGGCUCAACCGAGGAACUGCUUUCGAGACUGCCGAGCUAGAGUGCGGAAGGGGCAACUGGAAUUCCCAGUGUAGCGGUGAAAUGCGUAGAUAUUGGGGAAGAACACCUGAGGCGAAGGCGGGUUGCUGGGCCGACACUGACGCUGAGGCGCGAAAAGCCAGGGGGAGCAAACGGG